rnacentral:lncRNA from 1 species
AAUUUAAGCAAAAUUAUUAUAAAAAAUUAAAUGAUGAUAAAGUUUUAUAAUUACCAUUAAUUAAAAAAAAGUUUUACAUUGUCAUUGUUUUUACACUAUAAUUAAGAUAUAUAUUACAACACAUGAUAUAAACAAAAUAAUUAUAAAAAAUUAUAUGGUAUACAUUAUGCAUUACGUGUGUAAUCGUGCCACAUAGAAGCUGCAAUCCCAUCUCUUAUAGCAUUCAUCUCUGCGACACUCGCUGGACAUAAAUCAAUAUUAGUAAGUGGCCUACUAGUAUCUCCUUCUUCGUUGGUAACCAAAUCUUGCUAUCCUCACCAUCAACAUCAUGUGGAUCCAUAUCUUGUUAC